rnacentral:rRNA from 1 species
GGGGAGUACGCCGGCAACGGUGAAACUCAAAGGAAUUGACGGGGGCCCGCACAAGCGGAGGAACAUGUGGUUUAAUUCGAUGAUACGCGAGGAACCCUACCCGGGCUUGAAUUGCAGAGGAAGGAUUUGGAGACAAUGACGCCCUUCGGGGUCUCUGUGAAGGUGCUGCAUGGUUGUCGUCAGCUCGUGCCGUGAGGUGUCGGCUUAAGUGCCAUAACGAGCGCAACCCCUCUCCUAGUUGCCAUCAGGUUAAGCUGGGCACUCUGGGGACACUGCCACCGUAAGGUGUGAGGAAGGUGGGGAUGACGUCAAAUCAGCACGGCCCUUACGUCCGGGGCUACACACGUGUUACAAUGGCAGGUACAGAGAGAUGGUCCUUUGCAAGACGGAUCAAAUCCUUAAAGCCUGUCUCAGUUCGGACUGGGGUCCGCAACCCGACCCCACGAAGUUGGAUUCGCUAGUAAUCGCGCAUCAGCCAUGGCGCGGUGAAUACGUUCCCGGGCCUUGUACACACCGCCCGUCAAGCCAUGAAAGCCGGGGCGCAUAAAGUCCGUGACCGUAAGGAGCGGCCUAGGGCGAAA